GAUGAACGCUGACAGAAUGCUUAACACAUGCAAGUCAACUGUGGCGGACGGGUGAGUAACGCGUAAAGAACUUGCCUCACGGAUAGGGACAACAUUUGGAAACGAAUGCUAAUACCUGAUACUGUGAGAGAGCUUUGCGUCCCAUUAGCUAGUUGGAGAGGUAACGGCUCACCAAGGCGAUGAUGGGUAGCCGGCCUGAGAGGUUGAUCGGCAACAAGGGGACUGAGACACGGCCCUUACUCUUCCGGGAGGCAGAAGUGGGGAAGAUUUGACAAGGGACCAAAUUCUGAUCCACAAAUUCUGUGUGCACGAUGAAGUUUUCGGAAGGUAAAGUGCUUUCAGUUGGGAAGCGGUACCAACAGAAGAAGUGACGGCUAAAUACGUGCCAGCAGCCGCGGUAAUUC
rnacentral:rRNA from 1 species